rnacentral:lncRNA from 1 species
AAGCCUUUGGCUCCCCUGAGAUGCCAAAUAGCCGCUCACUCUUCCGCCUCCACGGACUGGCUUUGGUGUUCAUGCUGGUUGGGAUGUCUACUAUGGACCUGCUGAGCACAGGGCUGGGUUCCUGGGGCACAGAGUUGAUGCUUAUGGCCCAGGAACUGCUGGGCCCCAGGACUGGGCGGUUUCCAUGGUUGCUGCCACAGAAGCAGCAUUGCUGGAGUCAGUAGUGUGGCUGCCUUGCCAUGGCCGUGGUGGGUCUGCCUGGGGGUAUCUCAAUCCCGCAGAGUGCCAGGCAACCACUCCAGCCUGCUGUUGAAGGCCCCUGGCCACCCCUGGGUAAGUAAAAGAUGUCAUUUGGCGGUGUGGCAGCGAAGGGGGAGCCAGGCAGAGUACGAGCAAGAAGGUAGUGGCAGGGGGUCGAGGAGGGUGCUAGAAACUGAGUCUGAGGUUCUUAGAUUGGCUCUGCUCUGUGACCUGAAGAAAGCCGCACAACCUCUCUGAGCUUUGAUUUCCUCGUGUGAAACGAGGCUAGCAAUUGUGCAGGAGACAGUGUCUCCAGAUGAGUGCUCUGUAAAUUGAUAACAUGUCAUAAGACUUCUGCAAUUAUGUUAUUUAGCAGUCAAAAUUGGCUAACGGUUUCCGUAGGACUUUUAAGUGAAACUAUAAAGGCAGUGGCAAUUGAGUAAAGAGUUCCCCGUGGUUUUUGACUGUUUCAAGCUAUUACCUAUUAUUUGCACAGAGUUCCAGAAGUUUAAGAGACACACACAAAAUUAUCCAACCCAGAAGAAGAGUGCACUUCCAGGGACAAUUUAAGCAUUCAGCUGGUAGCAGUAAAGCACCUGCUGCAAGCCAAGUGCGUGGAUAGGAGCUGUGGUUACAACCCUGGAUGGGCCAGACAUUAUCCUCCUCUCACGGUGCUAGUGGUGACUGGCAAGGGAGCUGACUUCACAGCAUGAGGGCCACCUGGAAGGUAACCUGUCUCAGGUGGCAGGUUGGGGACUUGGGGCCAACCAGAUUUCUCCUCCUUUCUGUGUCUGUUCCCCUCCAUGAAAUGAAGAGUUUAAGAACCAGGGUGUUAUCUAACCACAUCACCCUGCUUCCAUAUUCAGACCCAGGGUCUGAAAGAAAUGAGAUGGAGACAAAAUGAAAGCAGAAGGUUGGAGGAAUGAAAUUCACAAUAAAACCUACAAUCUGCUCCUUGACCAAAAUGAUAGCUCAGGCACGCUGAGCACUCACUAUGGGCCAGGCGCUGUGCUAAGACCUUCACGUACUUCAUCUCACUCUGCCCUCUCAACAGCCGCAUUUUCCAGUUGACAGACUGAGGCUUGGAGAUGUCACCCUGCCCAGGGUCAAACGGCUAGUAAGUGGUAGAGCUGGGAUUCAGACCCCAGGGUGUCUGACUGUGGAGACUGCAAGGUCAGCUCUGCUCUGUUGCCUCAGCAGGUCUAUUCCUUGGAUUGAAAGAGCUCGCUGCAGUCUGAUUUCCCACAGAACAGUAGCAUGGAAAGAGUGGAGGAAGGCAGGGGAAAAUUCCCAGGCUGGUAGCUGGUGUUCUAUCUGCAAGGCUGCCUUAGCUCAAGCGGCCCCAGCCUCCGGGCAGCUGGUGGGAAGGUAAACUGCUGAAACUGAAGAUUUGCAAAACCCACCAUGCUCCAGUUAACGAGCCUCUUGGAAAACCUCUCUGAAGGUUCCUGGCAGUGUCCCUGUGGGAGCCAGCUCAUGUAUUUUAAGACAAAAAAAAAAUCAUUAAAGAAGUUAGGACUCUGGAGUGGCCGUAAAUGUAAAAUAUUGGUGGUUCGACAGUGUAUCCCUAGCAGCCGUAGGCAGAGUUCAUCUUGAUGAGCCAGAACCAUGUCCAAGAAAUGAAUCAUUUUGUUUUCCUCAGAGGGCUCCCCCUGAAUCUUCCCAGGCCGUCUGCUCCAAAGUUUUUAACUUGCCCACCUAGCUCAGGACCCACUAAGACCACGACUGCUCCUAGCCAGGAAAGGGAAUAGGGUUGGCAGAAUUGUAGAGCAAGCUGGGCCCCAAACACUUCUGGAACGGUGCCUGAGAGAUUCCAUUUUCCAGAUGGCCCCCAAGCCUUCCCUUACUUUGGUUGUUGGUAACCAUAACUGUCACACCAAAGGCACUUGUCUUCAUGACAUUCUGGAGGAGGGAGGUCAUGGCAUGUGGCACCUCUUAGGCACUCCGUGAGUGCUUGUGGAUGGUGGGGGCAAACACAUGGUUUGCAUGGUUUGGGCCUCCCACAUAUGGCACCUGCUUGUCUCUUUGGCUGAUGGGUGUCUUGGUUUCCCUUUGCCCAGCAAAGGUGGUACCACCAUCCAGCCAAUCUUUUAUUCUGCUCCCUCUUUCAUUUGGUGAACCAUAGUGAGGAUCCAGAUCUAGAGGAUUUAAAGUGUUGGGGACCCCCUGCCAGCUCAGAUCAAAUUUAAAGGUGUUGGGGACCCCCACCUGCCUCAGAUCAGAUUAAAGUCAGUGGCAGCCCAGGCCAGGAAUUGAGGCUAGAGGGGGGAUUUCCAAGGUCCCGCCCUAGCCCCCAGCUCCCACAUCCAGGGUGACUUCCAACAAACCACCUGACCCCUCCCCAUCCCCUCUUCCCAGCUUAGAGGCGGGGAGGGUGACAUUGAGCUUCGGCUCUGGGGCGUCCUAAGGGUUAACUAAUUAAUGGUCGGAAAGUGCUUUGAAAAAAUAAAGUGCUGGAUAAUGGGAAGGGCAAUUAUGUUGGGAGAAACUCCUAAUUUGGCUGGAAUUGAUGUUAAUGAUAAAGUAUCUGAAACAUGUAGCAAGCAAGCGUGAUUGUAUUUUAUAUGACAGAGAGAGACACUUACACGCAGGGGACACGGACAGCGGUUAAUUUGGUUAAAUAAAGUGAAAGAUAAAAGGAAUGCGGACACCGCAGGACUCGCUGUUUAUCCGGACUCAAUGUAACACUUUGCAAUUGGAUCGGGGCGCUUUGACUCUUAUUUAUUUGUUUGUGAUGAAAAUAAAUGGGAAAGUGCCAGUUUUAUGGCUUAAAAGGAGAUGGUAGAAAGUAGAAUCCAAGAAGGAGUCCCAGGGCUUCCGACGAGGCAGGCUCAGGCUGCGUUCCCAGGAAGGAGAACAAGGUCUCCGAGAGAGUCAAGGUGGGUGAGGACAUCCUCACUCCACCCCACCGGAGCUGGGGGAAUCUCAGAGGGCAACCAACAUAGCUCUCACCUUCCAGAGGGAGAAACUGAGACCCAGGAAAGGGAGAGGGUAUACGACUGAGUAUAGGAGCCAGCAUUAACUAAGCAAUUCUGUUCGCUAUGAUCAGAUGAGAUGUUAUGAUCCCAUUUAAUCCCUAAAGCAAGCGUAUGAGGUGGGUACCAUUUUCACUGCCAUAUUACAGAAGAAGAAACAGAAGCUCAGAGAGGUCAAGCAAGGAGCCCAAGAUCACACAGCCAGGAAGUGGUGGAGCAGGGCGUUGGGCUCGGGCAGCCUGACUCUGGGAGGAAAACUCCACGAAUGGUGACUUUGGGACUAAGCCAAUGCUCUUAAUAUUCAUGUCCCUCUUCUCCUUGACUACGUUCUGCUGAACAGGGAACCAGGAGAAGGAAGUGAGGAGACUCUUGUCCCAGUCCAGGAAAGACUGAAUGGGGCUGCCCAGGGUGAUAGGGAUGCCUGGUCUGGGACCAGAGCAAUGGCAGGGGUUUGAGCCCUAGUUUGGGGCCCCAGAGGACAGCAUGAAUUUGCCCCAAGGAAGAACAGGAGACUUGGUUUCUGGAAGGUCUGUGAGGUCCCCGCAGGUCCAUAUUAGUAUUCAGUAUUUAUAAUAUUUCCAUAAUGGUAAAACAAAAGAAAACAAGCAGAGAGAAUGCAUUUUUAAUCACCAAUCAUUUCUCUUUGUUUGUUGUGAAUGAACAGCGAGGUGAAAUAGUAUUUCAUAAUCACCCCAUUCGAAUUUUCCUCCCCACGAAGCGCCGAGAAAUCUCUAAAUAAAAUAAAUAAACAAGCCAAGACCUUAAAAUAAAUUCCAGAGGGUAAAGUGCUACGUGUGGGUUAUCACAGCUGCGGGGAGGCUGGGGCUGGGAGGUGGGGAAGGGAGGACAAAGGGCCAGGGGCCUUGUCAGUUAUCAGGAAUCGGAUCCCCCAGAUCCAGAGACUGACAAGGAAGGGCAGAAGAUCAGAGGAAUGGUUUGAAGAUCUGCAGCAGCAUGGAGCUGGAACAGACUCCCCCCUACUUCAUUUCUUCCUUCUUUUUCUUUCAG